UGGAUGGUCCUUCCUUUUAGGCUUAACAACCUUUUCCUGAUCUUCUUCAUCAUCAAGAUCAAUUACCUCUCCAAGAUAGUACUUGAUCCUCUUAUCAUAAUCAGGAAUUUGCGGAAGUACUAAAGGAGUAACAGUCACCUGAUUAAAGAUUUCCCUGAAUGGCUCUCGGAGACUUUCUUUCUCUUCUUCUUUUUCUUUGUCUUUGUUGCUUUUCUGCUCUUUAAAUUCAUCAACACUCUUCAUCUCUUCAUCUCCUUCCUCGCUGCUCUCAAUUUCAAUUAUUUGCCCUUCUGUCUUCCUUUUAUUUCUUGUUUAAACAACUUUGCACUCCUCUUUAGGGUUAACAUCAGUAUUAACCCUAAACUGAUUUUUCUCGGUGGUCUCUACCCUUUUAGACAGCUGC
rnacentral:lncRNA from 1 species